CCUACGGGCGGCUGCAGUGAGGAAUAUUGGUCAAUGGACGAGAGUCUGAACCAGCCAAGUAGCGUGAAGGAUGACUGCCCUAUGGGUUGUAAACUUCUUUUAUAUGGGAAUAAAAUGUUCCACGUGUGGGAUUUUGUAUGUACCAUAUGCAUAAGGAUCGGCUAACUCCGUGCCAGCAGCCGCGGUAAUACGGAGGAUCCGAGCGUUAUCCGGAUUUAUUGGGUUUAAUGGGAGCGUAGGUGGAUUGUUAAGUCAGUUGUGAAAGUUUGCGGCUCAACCGUAAAAUUGCAGUUGAAACUGGCAGUCUUGAGUACAGUAGAGGUGGGCGGAAUGCGUGGUGUAGCGGUGAAAUGCUUAGAUAUCACGAAGAACUCCGAUUGCGAAGGCAGUUCACUGGACUGCAACUGACACUGAGGCUCGAAAGUGUGGGUAUCAAACAGGAUUAGAUACCCUUGUAGUC
rnacentral:rRNA from 1 species